rnacentral:rRNA from 1 species
CACCGCGGUUAUACGAGAGGCCCAAGUUGAUAGGCACCGGCGUAAAGGGUGGUUAGGGAUCACUAUAAAAUAAAGCCGAAUAUCUUCAACGCUGUUAUACGCCCCCGAAGAUUCGAAGCCCCGUUACGAAAGUAGCUUUACCUUCCCCCGAACCCACGAAAGCCAGGGUA